rnacentral:rRNA from 1 species
CCUACGGGGGGCAGCAGUGAGGAAUAUUGGUCAAUGGACGAGAGUCUGAACCAGCCAAGUAGCGUGAAGGAUGACGGCCCUAUGGGUUGUAAACUUCUUUUAUAUGGGAAUAAAAUGUUUCACGUGUGGGAUUUUGUAUGUACCGUAUUAAUAAGGAUCGGCUAACUCCUGUCCAGCAGCCGCGGUAAUACGGAGGAUCCGGCCGUUAUCCGGAUUUAUUGGGUUUAAAGGGAGCGUAGGUGGAUUGUUAAGUCAGUUGUGAAAGUGUGCGGCGCAACCGUAAAAUUGCAGUUGAAACUGGCAGUCUUGAGUACAGUAGAGGUGGGCGGAAUUCGUGGUGUAGCGGUGAAAUGCUUAGAUAUCACGAAGAACUCCGAUUGCGAAGGCAGCUCACUGGACUGCAACUGACACUGAGGCUCGAAAGUGUGGGUAUCAAACAGGAUUAGAUACCCGGGUAGUC